UCGGUAUUUAGCAAAGGGGGUUACCCGCAACAAAACCCCCUUUCCCCCAUUCUCUUUUCUUUUAUUUUUCCCCCUAGUUUCUCCUUUUCUUUUGAGGUGUUUCCUGGUGUUCUCCAGCAGUUUAUGAAGCACCCCAGCGCUGGAAGGUGACUUUCUGUCAGCUGAACAUCCCUGGAAUCACAGGUGUGCAGCUGGCACAGCCAAGAUUUCUGCGAUGCCCCACCACACCCCACGUGUUCCUGAGCUGUCUCCCAGCCAAACCUCAGCAUCAUGGGCUCCCUGAGGUGACCCUCUGGCUAUCAAGCCCUAGAAUAAAUAGCCCUAUUGAUGACAGCAAUCUAAACAGAUGCAAACUAUUGCACCUGACUGAGUGUGGUAGUGAGCUGCCUUCACCUUUAUCUGCUGCUACUGGACAGAUGAAUCCACACUACAGCAGAGCACUUGCAGAUUACUAUCUUUCUUCUGUGAAAAUUUGCCUAUCAGUGCAAGUGGCAUCUGGAGAUGGGAAAGCAGAGCUUCAGGAAAUUGGACAGGAGGCUGGCUGAAAGUGUACCAGAGCUCUACAGGGAUUUCUUGUGCCUUUUCAAGGAAGGGUUUGCUGUGUUCUCGAAUGUGUAAAUAUUGUUUGGGGCUUGUUUUGUUUUGUUUUGUUUUUUAUCUCAAGUGCUUGCCAAGGAAAUUGAACUGUACAAACAUAAUUAGCCAGGGGCUGAACAUUUAAUCUUAAAUUCUGAGUCUUCAUUAAGUCUUAAUUUAAACCUCAGGAGGGAAGCUUGCAACCAUUCCUGUUCAUAAGGAUGGAUGGACUUUGUGGCAGGUUUUUAUGGUAGAAGAGGGAAACCACUCAAAUGUUUGGGAAAAAAAA